GUAUGUCCCUGUUCUGGUGGGUGUAGCUUUGUUUGGCAGUCUUGUUAUUGCAUGCAGUUGUAUCUGCUGUUGUGGAAUGACAAGUGGACAGUCUAGUGGAUUAAAUAUUGCUUCCAAAUUUAGAAAGGUAAACUCAUUAUGCGAAUAAAUAUAACCUUUAAAAAACUAGAGGCUCUUUAAAUCCUGUGUCGCUCACAAUUGUAACUUUUGUUUUCUUUUAAGGGGAAUGCAUGUUGACACAUUUAUAGAUCGUAUCCUGCUUAUAUAAUAAUCUUUAUUUGUCAUAUAAGUAACAUUACAUCCCAGCUCCUUUGUUCUAACAGGAGUGAUCUGAGCCGGAUCACCCCAGUUUGAGUUUCUUUGUUAUGCAUGCUUUCCUUUGUUCUGUAACAUACAUGUUAUAAAACUUAUAACUAAUUGUACGGAAAAGACUAUCUAUCUAAAUUCACGUAGAAAAAAAUCCAGUGUAUAUACUGGGAUUCGAACUCGAGACCUUUAGCAUACCAAGCCACGACACAUACCACUACACCAGGACGACUAGAUACGAACUAUCAGUAAUUUAACAUAGUUAAAGGAAGCAAGAUAAGUUUUAUAAGUGGGGGCGAGUUGGCAGACCUUUAUUCAGUGGGGUUUAAACCCUUUUCGUUAAUAAGUGAGUUGUCAGACUGAUUGUUAAAUUUGAUUUUACACUUUUUUCAAAAGUUGGGCGAGUCGGUAAACAAGAGUGGGGCGAUUUUUUUAUAAAGUGGCGAUAUAGUGUGGGCCGAUUGGCCAGUGGGGCGAGUUUACAUUGUUUGAUAUCUACUCAUCGUGUUCGGGGUCAUAAAGGGUAUACAUCAUAUAGUAAUAUAUAAAGUAUAUUAUAAUGCUUGUGUGGCGUUCUAAACUAGAUUUGAUGAAUUGUAAAUGGGUUUUCGUCUAAUCUAAAACAGCUGGGAUGUAAAAUAGUUAUCCCAUUCGGACUUGGUGUAUCAGUGUAAGAUCACCCUCUGGCCUCCGGCCAUCGGGAUGAUCUUACACUGACACACCGCGUCCUUAUGGGAUAACUAUUAAUUAUACUUGGGACAUAAACAAAAGUAACAACAACAAUAAAAUAACUGAGUUGAACACACAAAUAUAUCUCUAUAAGAAUCUACCAACCAGUAAACUUAAUAGGUAUUGGAUCAUCAAAAUUGACAAUACUACACAAACAGGAAAAAAUAUAUGAGUAUAAAAGAUUGUGUAACAAUACCGAUAAAUAGAUGGAAAACAUUUGCCAUGGCAAAGUAUGCAAAAAGAGAAUCGGGAGAAGUUUUGGAUAAAAACACUGGGUGUCCUCCACCCAGACGGAAUCAAUAGAAAGAAAUAAUUAAAUUUACAGUCUAGUGUUUAUAUUAUUAUAUUCAGGAUUUUGGAUUAAAAUCAAUCGACCAAACUACCUGUAUUAUUACUGAUCUAUGUUUACACCUUAUACAUUAUAUAUCAGUAUUGUUAAAACUUUUUGCACCGAAGAAGGCCAUUUGUUGAGCCGAAAUAUUUGCAAUUAUUGUAUAAUUUAUAUCAUCUGUUCAGUUUUUCCAUCUUUGUGCGAUGAUAUUCAACACUUUUUAGUGUUUUGUUUUCAAUCUAUUUAUCGGUAUUGUUACACAAUCUGUUAGACUCAUAUAUAUAUAUAUAUAUAUAUAUACUCAUAUAUAUACAAGUAAAACUAACUAAGAGUUUUUCAGUAUCAGGUAGAUAUGGAAACAUAGAAAUAUCUAUUGCAAGGGGGGGGGGGGGGGGGGGGGGUGUCCCAACCCAGGACAAAAGGGGGGGGGGUUCCAACUAUGUGUCAUCAUUCAAAUGCAUUGAGCAGCCAAAAAAAGGGAGAUUCCAACCCCCGGAAACCCCCCUCUGGAUCCGCCACUGCUUUUAGUGCUGAUCUUUCACUUUUUUGCCGAUUUUUCAUGAAGAUCAGAAUAAUGAACUUGUCAUUAUUUUCAUUAAACAUACUAUAAUUUUGUUUAUCUCUUUUUAGUAAUGGUUCAACAAUAACGGCAAUACCUCACCAGUUCUUGACGGAUAUGACGAUCAACGGUACCAUCAUCACAUUUUUUUUCAAGGAACAUCACAUACGAUAUUUAUGAAUAAUUGUAUUCCAAUUGAUUUCUUAAUCCUGAACGAUAAUGGAUAAGGUUUUGUAUUUUGCAACUCUGAAAUAUGAUUAGUAUUGUAAAUAUAUUUUGCUAGCUAGGAAGAUCUUGGAAUAUACGUUUGUUGAAAUAUUUCGUUAAUACUCAGUUGUGUGGAUAUAGGAAGAUGUUGGCUCUUAGCCAAUGAGACAGCAACAUCGACAAGUAACAUUGAGAAAUAUGUAACGGCAGCCGCCUUGUGUGCGUGUUUGUGAUUUUGUAUAUAUACCAGUCAUGUCUUCACUUAAUUUCAUAGUGCGGUCGUAAAUAUUUGUCCAGCUUAUGAAAACAGACGAGGAAGCAACACAUUUGAUCUUACAUUCCGCCGUUCUCAAAUUUAGUUUUAGGGG
rnacentral:lncRNA from 1 species